rnacentral:rRNA from 1 species
AGAGUUUGAUCAUGGCUCAGGACUAACGCUGGCGGCGUGCCUAACACAUGCAAGUCGAACGAAGUAGCAAUACUUAGUGGCAGACGGGUGAGUAACACGUAGUCAACCUACCUCAGCGUGGGGGAUAACUAGCCGAAAGGUUAGCUAAUACCGCAUACGAUCGCUAAGUGGCAUCAUUUGGCGAUGAAAGGAGCAAUCCGCGCAGAGACGGGACUGCGUCCCAUUAGUUAGUUGGUGGGGUAACGGCCUACCAAGGCGACGACGGGUAGCUGGCGUGAGAGCGUGGCCAGCCACACUGGGACUGAGACACUGGCCAGACACCUACGGGUGGCUGCAGUCGAGAAUCUUCGGCAAUGGACGCAAGUCUGACCGAGCGACGCCGCGUGCGGGAUGAAGGUCUUCGGAUUGUAAACCGCUGUCAGAGGGGAUGAAGUGCACGGGGGUUCUCCCCUGUGUUUGACAGAGCCUCAGAGGAAGCACGGGCUAAGUUCGUGCCAGCAGCCGCGGUAAUAC